CUCUCUCUCCGCCCCUCUCUCUGCCCCAACCCUCUCUCUCUCCCGCUCGUCUCUCCCUCUCCCUGCCACGAGAAGCUACGCCGGCCGAUUCCGGUGAGCUCCGGCGGGAUUCGACGACGCCCGCCCCACAGCCGAGAGCCUCCCGACCCCGCCUCCCUCGACCCCGCGCCGCUGCGCCACCUCGCCUCCGCCCGCCGAUGCGCGCUGCCACCUCACCAUUUCCCCUCACCCUUGUCUCCCUCGCUCAGAUCCGCCCGCACCCGCAGCCCUGUCGCCAUUUCCCCUUCACCAGCUCCCCCUCGCCGCGCCAAGACGUCUAGGAGCUCCUCCAUCGUCGUCUUCUUUGCCCUCGCAUAAGGGCUCGAACUAGGAGGCCCCGCACGCUCGCCAUCGCCGUCGUCUUCGCCCACGGCCGCCGCAUCUCGUCCUCGAGUCUUUCGUGUCCGGCCACCCCCGCGCUCCCUGACCACGUCCACAAGCUCCGUGGUCUGCGAAAGUUGGAUUUUGGACAGGCUUUCAAGAGCGUGACUGAAGCAGAGACACACACAUGUUUGUACGCUUGAAUUCUGAUGCCACCACCUGAUACUGCAGAUCCGUAGAGGCCAUGAAUGGCCGAGUGUGUUUCAGGCAGCGCGACAAUAAUUCUUCUUCCUCAAAGCAUAUAUUUUCUCCAAGCGAUCAACAAAGUGAUUGGUCCAUUUGGAAGGGCAGGGUCGGAUGGGCGCGCCCGGCGGAGGUCGGGUGCGGGGCGUCGCUGUCGCCGUCAAUGACGCGGUUCGGGAUCGCCGCGCGCUUCAACGCCACGUCGUCAGCGGAGGCCGCCGCCGCC